GUGGGGAAUAUUGGUCAAUGGGCGAGAGCCUGAACCAGCCAAGUAGCGUGCAGGAUGACGGCCCUAUGGGUUGUAAACUGCUUUUAUCAGGGGAUAAAGUCACCCACGUGUGGGUGUUUGUAGGUACCUGAUGAAUAAGGACCGGCUAAUUCCGUGCCAGCAGCCGCGGUAAUACGGAAGGUCCGGGCGUUAUCCGGAUUUAUUGGGUUUAAAGGGAGCGCAGGCCGAUUGGUAAGCGUGACGUGAAAUGUAGCCGCUCAACGGCUGAACUGCGUCGCGAACUGCCGGUCUUGAGUAUGUUCGAUGUAGGCGGAAUUCGUGGUGUAGCGGUGAAAUGCUUAGAUAUCACGAAGAACCCCGAUUGCGAAGGCAGCCUACAAGGCCAUUACUGACGCUAAAGCUCGAAGGUGCGGGUAUCGAACAGG
rnacentral:rRNA from 1 species